rnacentral:rRNA from 1 species
CAAGUCUGCGAUCAGUAACUGGUGUGAGAGCACGACCAGUCACACGGGCACUGAGACACGGGCCCGACUCCUACGGGAGGCAGCAGUAAGGAAUAUUGGUCAAUGGACGCAAGUCUGAACCAGCCAUGCCGCGUGGAGGAUUAAGGCCCUCUGGGUUGUAAACUCCUUUUAUCUGGGAAGAAAUCCAUGUAUUCUUAUGUGGUUGACGGUACCAGAGGAAUAAGCACCGGCUAACUCCGUGCCAGCAGCCGCGGUAAUACGGAGGGUGCAAGCGUUAUCCGGAUUCACUGGGUUUAAAGGGUGCGUAGGCGGGUAAGUAAGUCCGUGGUGAAAUCUCUGAGCUUAACUCAGAAACUGCCGUGGAUACUAUUUGCCUUGAAUAUUGUGGAGGUGAGCGGAAUAUGUCAUGUAGCGGUGAAAUGCUUAGAUAUGACAUAGAACACCAAUUGCGAAGGCAGCCCACUACACAAUUAUUGACGCUGAGGCACGAAAGCGUGGGGAUCAAACAGGAUUAGAUACCCUGGUAGUCCACGCCCUAAACGAUGAUUACUCGACAUCAGCGAUACACUGUUGGUGUCUGAGCGAAAGCAUUAAGUAAUCCACCUGGGAAGUACGACCGCAAGGUUGAAACUCAAAGGAAUUGACGG